UCAAUACAGAGAUCUCUCCCAUCAUCUAUUUAUCCCCAGGUCUGUGACUGUGAUGAGGGGACAUCCUCUGCGUCUGGAGGAAAGAAGGUUUGCACACAAACAUAGAAAAGAAUUCUUUUCGGUAAGAGCAGUGGGACUAUGGAACUCUCUGCCUGAGGAGGUGGUGAUGGUGAAUUCACUAAAAGAAUUCCAGAGGGGCCUGGAUGUAUUUCUGGAGUGUAAUAAUAUUACAGGCUAUAGCUACUAGAGAGGGGUCGUUGAUCCAGGGGGUUAUUCUGAUUCAUGAUUGGAGUCAGGGAGGAAUUCUUUUCCCCUUAAGUGGGGAAAAUUUGCUUCUACCUUACAGUUGUU